AGUAGGAGGAGUAAGAUAGUAUGUAUAUGUAUAAGU
rnacentral:guide_RNA from 1 species